rnacentral:miRNA from 1 species
CUUCACUGGCAAGCUUUA